GGGUAGUACAGGCACACAUAGCCAACAGGUGAAGGGGUAGUACAGGCACACAUAGCCAACAGGUGAAGGGUUUGGGGUAGUACAGGCACACAUAGCCAACAGGUGAAGGGGUAGUACAGGCACACAUAGCCAACAGGUGAAGGGGUAGUACAGGCACACAUAGCCAACAGGUGAAGGGGUAGUACAGGCACACAUAGCCAACAGGUGAAGGGGUAGUACAGGCACACAUAGCCAACAGGUGAAGGGUUUGGGGUAGUACAGGCACACAUAGCCAACAGGUGAAGGGUUUGGGGUAGUACAGGCACACAUAGCCAACAGGUGAAGGGUUUGGGGUAGUACAGGCACACAUAGUCAACAGGUGAAGGGUUUGGGGUAGUACAGGCACACAUAGCCAACAGGUGAAGGGUUUGGGGUAGUACAGGCACACAUAGCCAACAGGUGAAGGGUUUGGGGUAGUACAGGCACACAUAGCCAACAGGUGAAGGGUUUGGGGUAGUACAGGCACACAUAGCCAACAGGUGAAGGGGUAGUACAGGCACACAUAGCCAACAGGUGAAGGGUUUGGGGUAGUACAGGCACACAUAGUCAACAGGUGAAGGGUUUGGGGUAGUACAGGCACACAUAGCCAACAGGUGAAGGGUUUGGGGUAGUACAGGCACACAUAGCCAACAGGUGAAGGGGUUUGGGGUAGUACAGGCACACAUAGCCAACAGGUGAAGGGUUUGGGGUAGUACAGGCACACAUAGCCAACAGGUGAAGGGUUUGGGGUAGUACAGGCACACAUAGUCAACAGGUGAAGGGUUUGGGGUAGUACAGGCACACAUAGUCAACAGGUGAAGGGUUUGGGGUAGUACAGGCCUUGGAUGUACAUAGUCAACAAACAACUACAAAAAAAUAAAAUAA